AACGAACGCUGGCGGCAGGCCUAACACAUGCAAGUCGAGCGAGGACUUCGGUCCUAGCGGCGGACGGGUGAGUAACGCGUGGGAACGUGCCCUUUGCUUCGGAAUAGCCCUGGGAAACUGGGAGUAAUACCGGAUGAGCCCUUUGGGGGAAAGAUUUAUCGGCGAAGGAUCGGCCCGCGUUGGAUUAGGUAGUUGGUGGGGUAAUGGCCUACCAAGCCGACGAUCCAUAGCUGGUUUGAGAGGAUGAUCAGCCACACUGGGACUGAGACACGGCCCAGACUGCUACGGGAGGCAGCAGUGGGGAAUCCUAGACAAGGGGGGAAACCGUGAUAUAGCCAUGCCGCGUGAGCGAUGAAGGCCUUAGGGUUGUAAAGCUCUUUCAGAUGGGAAGAUAAUGACGGUACCAGCAGAAGAAGCCCCGGCUAACUCCGUG
rnacentral:rRNA from 1 species